UACGUAGGGGGCUAGCGUUGUCCGGAUUUAUUGGGCGUAAAGAGCGUGUAGGCGGCCAGUCAAGUCUGCUGUGAAAACUCGAGGCUCAACCUCGAGCUGUCGGUGGAAACUGUCUGGCUAGAGUCCGGAAGAGGAGAGUGGAAUUCCUGGUGUAGCGGUGAAAUGCGCAGAUAUCAGGAAGAACACCUAUGGCGAAGGCAGCUCUCUGGGACGGUACUGACGCUGAGACGCGAAAGCGUGGGGAGCGAACAGG
rnacentral:rRNA from 1 species